rnacentral:rRNA from 1 species
UACAGAGGUCUCAAGCGUUGUUUCGGAUUCAUUGGGCGUAAAGGGUGUGUAGGUGGCGCGCUAAGUCGGGUGUGAAAUUUUCGGAGCUUAACUCCGAAACUGCAUUCGAUACUGCCGUGCUUGAGGACUGGAGAGGAGACUGGAAUUUUACGGUUGUAGCGGUGAAAUGCGUAGAUAUCGUUAAGGAAGACCAGUGGCGAAGGCGGGUCUCUGGACAGUUUCCUGAC